rnacentral:rRNA from 1 species
GUGAGGAAUAUUGGUCAAUGGGCGAGAGCAUGAACCAGCCAAAUCGCGUGAAGGAUGAAGGUAUUAUGUAUUGUAAACUUCUUUUAUCGGGGAAUAAAGUGCACCACGUGUGGUGUUUUGUAUGUACCCGAAGAAUAAGGAUCGGCUAACUCCGUGCCAGCAGCCGCGGUAAUACGGAGGAUCCAAGCGUUAUCCGGAUUUAUUGGGUUUAAAGGGUGCGUAGGCGGACUGUCAAGUCAGCGGUGAAAGUUCAUGGCUCAACCAUGGAAUUGCCGUUGAAACUGUCGGGCUUGAGUGUAGAUGAGGUAGGCGGAAUUCGUAGUGUAGCGGUGAAAUGCUUAGAUAUUACGAAGAACUCCAAUUGCGUAGGCAGCUUACCAGGCUACAACUGACGCUGAGGCACGAAGGUGCGGGGAUCAAACAGGAUUAGAAACCCCAGUAGUCC